rnacentral:sRNA from 1 species
CAAAAUUUCUGAGGAGGGAAUAGAGGUUGAUAAGGCUAAGAUUGACGUGAUGAUGCAGUUACAGCCACCAAAAACUGUCAAAGACAUCAGGAGUUUUCUUGGACAUGCAGGAUUUUACAGAAUAUUCAUCAAGGAUUUCUCCAAGUUGGCAAGACCGCUCACCAGACUGCUGUGCAAGGAAACCGAGUUUGCAUUUGAUGACGAAUGUUUGACAGCCUUUAAGUUAAUCAAGGAAGCUUUGAUCACUGCACCAAUAGUCCAAGCUCCAAACUGGGACUUCCCAUUCGAGAUCAUGUGCGAUGCUUCAGUACGCAGUAGGAGCAGUCUUGGGCCAGCGGAUUGAUAAAAAGCUGCAUGUGAUCUACUACGCGAGCAGAACGAUGGAUGAUGCACAAGUAAGGUAUGCCACUACAGAGAAGGAAUUGCUAGCUGUGGUAUUUGCAUUUGAAAAAUUUAGAAGCUACCUAGUGGGUUCUAAAGUGACAAUCUACACUGAUCAUGCUGCUCUGAGGCAUAUAUACGCGAAGAAGGAUACCAAACCUAGGCUGUUGAGAUGGAUCUUAUUGCUCCAAGAGUUUGAUAUGGAGAUAGUUGAUAAGAAGGGAAUCGAAAACGGUGUAGCUGAUCAUCUGUCUAGGAUGAGGAUUGAAGACGAGGUCCUUAUUGACGACUCCAUGCCAGAAGAACAGCUAAUGGCAAUUCAGCAACUUAACGAGAGUGCUCAAAUUUAGAAAUCACUCGAUCAAGUAUGUGCAAUUGAAGAAAAGCUUCCGUGGUAUGCUGAUCACGUCAACUACUUGGUUAGUGGUGAAGAGCCUCCGAAUCUGUCGAGCUAUGAGAAGAAGAAGUUCUUCAAGGACAUUAACCAUUUCUACUGGGACGAACCUUAUCUCUACACACUCUGCAAAGAUAAGAUCUACAGGACAUGCGUCUCAGAAGACGAAAUUGAAGGCAUCCUAUUGCAUUGCCAUGGGUUUGCCUAUGGUGGCCACUUCGCAACGUUCAAGACAAUGUCGAAAAUCCUGCAAGCUGGUUUUUGGUGGCCAUCAAUGUUUAAGGAUGCUCAGGAAUUUAUCUCGAAAUGUGAUUCAUGUCAGAGAAGAGGGAACAUCAGCAGAAGGAAUGAGAUGCCUUAGAAUCCGAUCUUAGAAGUUGAAAACUUUGACGUUUGGGGAAUUGAUUUUAUGGGUCCGUUUCCUUCCUCUUACGGAAACAAGUACAUACUGGUCGCAAUAGACUAUGUAUCAAAAUGGGUGGAAGCCAUAGCCAGCCACACCAAUGAUGCUAGAGUUGUGCUAAAGCUGUUCAAGACAAUUAUCUUCCCUAGAUUUGGAGUCCCGAGAAUUGUGAUUAGUGACGGAGGGAAACAUUUUAUCAACAAGGGUUUUGAGAACCUUUUGAAGAAGCAUGGAGUAAAGCACAAGGUAGCCACUCCUUAUCAUCAAUAGACGAGCGGGCAGGUGGAAAUCUCCAAUAGGGAGAUAAAAGCAAUUUUAGAGAAAACUGUGGGAAGUACAAGGAAAGAUUGGUCUGCUAAGCUCAAUGACACACUAUGGGCUUACAGAACAGCCUUCAAGACCCCUAUUGGCACGACUCCUUUCAACCUCCUCUAUGGAAAAUCCUGUCAUUUGCCUGUUGAACUCGAGUAUAAAGCCAUGUGGGCAGUUAAGCUCCUGAACUUCGACAUUAAAACCGCCGAGGAGAAGCGGUUAAUCCAACUGAACGAUCUCAACAAGAUUCGCUUAGAAGCCUAUGAGAGUUCCAAAAUCUACAAGGAGCGAACCAAGUCUUUCCAUGAUAAGAAGAUAGUCUCAAGAGAUUUUAAGGUUGGUGAUCAAGUGUUGCUGUUCAACUCUCGCCUGAGGCUUUUUCCAGGCAAGCUCAAGUCUAGAUGGUCUGGUCCUUUCUCUGUUACUGCAGUCCGACCUUAUGGUGCUAUCACGCUAGCUGGAAAGAAUGGAGACUUCACAGUCAAUGGCCAGCGGCUCAAGAAAUACAUGAUAGAUCAGUUUAUUCCAGAAGGAACCUCUGUUCCUUUGGAGGAGCCUUUAAACGCCUAAUGAGUAUGAGGAGUCAAGCUAGAGACCUAAAACAAGCUCACUUGGGAGGAAGUCCCAAGCCUUCCUUUGUACAUAUCUUUCAUUUUCCUGGUUGUUUUUGAUGCAUCUUGUUAGUGUUUUCAGGAGAUAAGUAUGAAGAGUUGAUGGAAAUAGAUUCUGGCUUUGAAGGAACAGCAAUACACUCGACCACAGAGCAAUCAAACUCGACAUUGUUCUGGCUUCUUCACACCAGGAAAUCACUCGACCACACCCUAUAGAGAUCGAAUGACGAUGUGGUCGAGUAUAGCGAAUGAUGCAGUCACGACUUCUCCAGUCCCGUAGCUUACGCGACCGCGGUGCUGGCCGCAGCAGAAGAAGAGAGGUCGAGUAUCAUCAGAGCGGUGCUGGCUGCGACGAAGGAGCAGAGGUCGAGUACCCCCAGGGGGAAGCUGAGACACAACAGGGAGAUUCUUCGAUGGCCUGAGAGCAAUCACAGGCAGCUAUUGACGACCAACUCCGCUCCUUCUUCCACUGAGGUAUGCACCUCACUCCACCAUUGUAAUAUACCAUCUCUUGUUUUUAUUUUGUCUUUGAGAUGUGUUUUGUCCUGAGUACUCUCUUCCAAAUUUGGUCACACAGUGGACUGUGUGAUUUAAGUUUGGGGGAGGGCUCAGGAAGUGUGUGUUGCAUUGUAUAUAAUCUUGAGUGUGCAUUCAUCUAAGGCAUAGAAAAACCAAAAAAAAAAAAAAUUGAAAAAUUUCAGAAAAUGAUUUCACAAAAAUAGAGUGUUCAUGUAGUUGCAUUUCAUUUAGGAUCGAGUCUAGAGUGUUUCGUUUAGGAUUGUUGCAUAUGCAUAGGGGAUAAUGAUGAGAUAGCCUUGUAAGCAUUUUGGUUCACCAGAUAAAGCUCAGUGCCCUCGUUGUUAGUUGUUUGAUGCGUUGUCAUUGAAAUUGAAGUAAAAACUGCACCAUGCCUAGAUUCAAGUUCAAACUGAUAUCAUUCCCUAUCAAUUUGAACUUGAAUCUGAUUUAGAAUUAUCAUGUCUUGGCAUCGAAUUUGAACUCAUGGAUACCCUAAAAUACUUGGAUUUUCUUACUCAUUUUAACCACUCUUUAUUAGAGCAGUUAACCCAUACCCAAACCUGAACUUUCUUUCAAGCCCUAUAUCACUUGUGAGUGUUUGUGAGGUCUUAUUUCGAUUGAGCUUGGUAGAAAGUGUUAAUACGUAACGACAGAGAUAGUGUCUCAUGUAGUUCUAGUUCGCGUUCUUCGGACUGGAUAGGACUAGGUGGGCGCUUAUAUCAUGGGUUGGGAUGUGUUUAAAAGAAAAGAGGGAAUUCAUUGUUGAUGAGGAAAGGGAAAGAAUUCUAGGGGAAGUAAGCUAAAGAAGUUAGAAAAAAAAUCUAGUAAAGGUUUUGAGAAUGUUAAAGAAAAGAAUGAGGUUCUUGUUAGCUAAAGAAGAAGGGUUAAAAGCCUUUGGUUUUAAAGGAAA